GACGUAGGAUGCAAGCGUUGUCCGGAAUUAUUGGGCGUAAAGAGUUCGUAGGCGGUUGCCUAAGUCUGAUGUUAAAUACUAGAGCUCAACUCUGGCAUGGCAUUGGAAACUGGGUAGCUAGAGUACGGUAGAGGUCUCGGGAAUUCCAGGUGUAGCGGUGAAAUGCGUAGAUAUCUGGAGGAACACCGGUGGCGAAAGCGCGAGACUGGGCCGUAACUGACGCUGAGGAACGAAAGCCAGGGGAGCGAAAGGGAUUAGAUACCCGGUAGUCC
rnacentral:rRNA from 1 species